rnacentral:misc_RNA from 1 species
CAAUAAGUGUUCAAUGGCACUUUAAAAUCCAUUACCCACCUUGUGUGCAAUGUAAGGAGGAGGGGGUUUGUCAGACUCUUUGGUCUGGUUUCCCCUCUUUCAUUAUACAUACCAAUCUUCUCUUGUUGUCUACUUUUUGAGUAUAAAAAACUCGAAUA